rnacentral:rRNA from 1 species
GCCAGCCGCCGCGGUAACACCGGCAGCUCUAGUGGUAGCUGUUUUAUUGGGCCUAAAGCGUUCGUAGCCGGUUUAAUAAGUCUCUGGUGAAAUCCUAUAGCUUAACUGUGGGAAUUGCUGGAGAUACUAUUAGACUUGAGAUCGGGAGAGGUUAGAGGUACUCCUGGGGUAGGGGUGAAAUCCUGUAAUCCUAGGAGGACCACCUGUGGCGAAGGCGUCUGACUAGAACGAAUCUGACGGUGAGGAACGAAAGCUAGGGGCGCGAACCGGAUUAGAUACCCGGGUAGUCCUAGCCGUAAACUAUGCGGACUUGGUGUGAGGGUGGCUUUGAGCCGUCCUGGUGCCGAAGGGAAGCUGUUAAGUCCGCCGCCUGGGAAGUACGGUCGCAAGACUGAAACUUAAAGGAAUUGGCGGGGGAGCACCACAACGCGUGGAGCCCUGCGGUUUAAUUGGAUUCAACGCCGGAGAUCUCACCAGCGGCGACAGCAGUAUGAUUACCAGGUUGAUGACCUUGUUUGACAAGCUGAGUGGUGGUGCAUGG